rnacentral:rRNA from 1 species
CCUACGGGGGGCAGCAGUGGGGAAUAUUGGGCAAUGGCCGCAAGCCUGACCCAGCAACGCCGCGUGAAGGAAGAAGGCUCUCGGGUUGUAAACUUCCUUUUAGAGGGAAGUGCAGAAGACGGUACCUCUUGAAUAAGCCACGGCUAACUACGUGCCAGCAGCCGCGGUAAUACGUAGGUGGCAAGCGUUGUCCGGAUUUACUGGGUGUAAAGGGCGUGCAGCCGGGAAGACAAGUCAGAUGUGAAAGCCCGCGGCUCAACCGCGGAACUGCAGUUGAAACUGUUUUUCUUGAGUACCGUAGAGGUCAGCGGAAUGCGUUGUGUAGCGGUGAAAGGCGUAGAUAUAAGGAAGAACACCAGUGGCGAAGGCGGAUGACUGGACGGCAACUGACGGUGAGGCGCGAAAGCGUGGGGAGCAAACAGGAUUAGAUACCCCAGUAGUC